UAGGGAAUUUUGCGCAAUGGGCGAAAGCCUGACGCAGCAACGCCGCGUGUGUGACGAAGCCCUUCGGGGUGUAAAGCACUGUCAGUGGGGACGAAACUUGACGGUACCCACAGAGGAAGCACCGGCUAACUCCGUGCCAGCAGCCGCGGUAAUACGGAGGGUGCAAGCGUUGUCCGGAAUCAUUGGGCGUAAAGCGUUCGUAGGCGGCAUACCAAGUCUGGUGUUAAAGCCCGAGGCUCAACCUCGGUUCGGCAUCGGAUACUGGUAAGCUAGAAUGCGGUAGAGGUGAAGGGAAUUCCUGGUGUAGCGGUGAAAUGCGUAGAUAUCAGGAGGAACAUCGGUGGCGAAAGCGCUUCACUGGGCCGUAAUUGACGCUGAGGAACGAAAGCCGGGGGAGCAAAUG
rnacentral:rRNA from 1 species